rnacentral:rRNA from 1 species
UACGUAGGGAGCAAGCGUUGUUCGGAUUUACUGGGCGUAAAGGGCGCGUAGGCGGCAUGUUAAGUCAGCUGUGAAAUCUCCGAGCUUAACUCGGAACUGUCAGCUGAUACUGAUGUGCUUGAGUGCGGAAGGGGCAAUCGGAAUUCUUGGUGUAGCGGUGAAAUGCGUAGAUAUCAAGAGGAACACCUGAGGUGAAGACGGGUUGCUGGGACGUUACUGACGCUGAGACGCGAAAGCGUGGGGAGCGAACAGG